GUGCAGGGAUUAGCUACUGGUUGCAAGGAUGCAGGAAGCAUGGAGAGCAGACUCUGGACCAGAACUACUACUUCCUAGAAGUCAAGAAAGUAAAAACCAAACCAAACACCAAUAGGAUCCAAGGUGUUUCUCUCCAGCAAACAGGUUUAUCUUAAAUCAUAGCUCUCAGGCAUAACUGUCAGAGCUGAUAAAGUAUUCUGUUUAUUGAUGCCACCAACGCCAGCUCAAGCAUUGACAAGGGAAGGCCCUAAAACUAAUCACUCCAACGCCGGGGACAAUUAAAUUUCAGUGACAGUCAGCCUUAUCAUUGAAGGGUUCAUUUUUCAGCCAUUCUCAAAUUGCCACUGGAAGGUCAACAAGACCGAAUUAAAAGUGCUUCAAUCUCGCAGUGCCGUAUCUCAGCUCUCAUGAUUCAAUGAUGCGGUGCUCAGGAGACACUGAUAGGUUUCGCAGAUCAGAGCAGAUUAGCAUUUAAAAUUAACGUAUCCCACAAAUCCUUAAUUACACCCACCACCAAAUAACGUUUUAAAGGAACAAGGAAUUCAAGUAGAUUAAAAGGCCCACUCAUUAUAAUAGUGUGAGCAUGCACAAAACAGGUUCCCUUCCAUGUUAAGAAUUAAAUAUCAGUGGCGGGUUUAAGUAGAAAAUAGGUAACAAACAGAAGACAAUAGUUAAAUUCAAGGUGAUAACUGUGCAUGAUAUUGUGUCUUGCUUCUCAUUGGUUCAUUCCAGCCUUGAUUCUUACUAUCUUCACCUUCCGUUGGAAGCAUUCUUCCUUUUUUUAAAAAAAAGUUUUUUAUUUAUACAACAAGAAAAAACACACACACACAAAUACCAAAUUACACACAAAUUACAAAAAUAACCAUAGGCACAUAAUUUUCUUAGCAAACAAUAAAACAUCUAUUGGUCUUAACAUUAAAGACCCAACCUCCCGUCUAUUCCAUAUUUCAAAUUCAUAUUACUUUUUGCCAGUAUACGCUUUUAUCAUAAUUAAACUUAUUCUCAAUAAAUCUAAUUUCUUAUAUCUACCUUGCGAGUAUUACUGAAGUUCCUCGAAUGCUGCAACAGAAUUUAAACUACUAUAUUUAUUUUUCAGAUAAUCUUUGAAAACCUCCCAUUUUGAAACAAAUUCCUGUUUUGAUUUAUUCUUUAUUUUUUCUGAUAAACCAUCUAAUUCGGCAUAUUCUGUCAGCUUUUGGAUCCAAUCUUGUAUAGAGGGGAUUUCAUUACUCUUCCAUUUUGCUGCGAUCAAAACUCUUGCUGCCGCCGUCGCAUAUAAAAAGAUACCCUUCCUCUUUUGUGGAAUAUCCAAAUCUGUUAUUCCCAGGAGCGUUCUUCCUGAUGCAAAUAGCAGCUCCAGGGAGGCGCAUUUUCAGCAAGACCACGUCAGGGGGAAAUGGGGGAAACUUUCUCUCUCUACCACAUGCAGUACAGUGGUGCCUCGCAAGACGAAAUUAAUUUGUUCCGCGAGUUUUGUCGUCUUGCGAUUUUUUUCAUCUUGCGAAGCACGGUGUCGGGAAAGUUUUGGAAAAGCUUCAAAAAUCACCAAAGUCUUUAAAAACCUCAAAAAAGGCUACCACACCGCGUUCUAUGAGUUGCUCCUCAAAGUCAAGUCGCAACUGUAUUAACGGUGUUAAGAAAAAGGAAACAAACUUGCAAGGUGUUUCCGUCUUGCGAAGCAAGCCCAUAGGGAAAAUCGUCUUGCGAAGCAGCUCAAAAAACAAAAAACCCUUUCGUCUAGCGAGUUUUUUGUCUUGCGAGGCAUUCGUCUUGUGAGGUACCACUGUACUUUUUCACUUGGAUUGCUGUGAGCUAGAAUUCUCGUGAAAAUAGGUUCUGCCUUCAACACUGAGCUAGGGCAGUGCUGUAGUAACUUUAUUUCCAUCCAAUCGUAAAGUUGUGGGUAUGGGGAGAGAUGAAAGCAGUGUCUCUGUCUCAUCCAAUGCCCUGCUGGGCUGUUGCUGGCAGGGCAGAAGUAAAUACUCAUCCAUCCUUUUCCAGUUUUUGUUAAAAGAAACCCCAGAUCUCACUGUUAUUGUCCUCAACACGCCUAUUUUCCCAUCCCUACCAAUAUUGGUGCUUUGGUGUUAAUAAGGAAAGAGCCACAGGAGUUGCCCCAGAGGCAGGAAUAGUGAAUCGAACAUUUAGGCUGGAUCUAGACACAUAAAAAAAAAGUUUAAGGAAAACACAUUGUAAAUGUCAUAAUGGAAAAUCACAUUGCCGGAAGAUGGAACUCUACAGCGCCAUCUGGUGUCACAGUAUUAUAACGUAUUUAAAACGCUUUAAAAAAAAAACUAAUGCAGUUGAAUUCUCAGUCUUCCUCACUAAUGUCACAGCGCUGUCUCUCUCUCUCCUCUCAAAGAGAGCAACCUGAUGCAUUAUAUGGCUUCUGGGAUGCCUCCCAGGGGCAAUAGGACUUCAUGCGUAGUAUCUAGAGGUCCACUGCUGAUUUGUAAUUUUUUUGCUUUCAAGCUUUUCACUGAAGAACCACUCAGGUGAUUAUCAAAAAAAGAUCCAGAUAAACUUAUCAUCCUCCUAACAGUUUUGACUAGUAAUCAUAAUAUGAAGACAGGUCUCAGACAAGUUUCCAGAUAUUGAUUUGGUUACACUUACAAAUAUGCAGCAUUCUGUGCCUAGUUUCAGAGGCUGCGGGGUUUUCUUACCGCAGAAAGGCUGAUCUGCAAAUACCAACAAGCUACAGAGAUCAGCAGCCGCUACAGGGGCCGAUAAUCCUUUUAAGGAAUUUGAAUACAUUUGUCCCUUAUCAGUCUCAUGCAUGCCAUAGCAGUCUGGUGGCUUCUGUUGUAACUCAUUGGCCCAGCCAGGCCUUUUCCCUUCCCUUUUUGCAGAUGGUUGUGGUUCUCCCCAUUUUUCCUCUGGGACAUCACUGAGUGCCACAAUUAACUAGAGACAGGAUGUUCUGUUACAUAAGGCUGCAGCCAAAAACAUUUUUUAUUGGAGUGACGAAGGGGAUUCGCUUUGCUCAAACAGGAUCUGGGCCUCAUUUAGGGAAUCAAUAAGGAAUUUCCCCACAGGUCAAAUUGGCUGGUUGUUUUGCUUCUUUUCCAUAUAACGAUGGGGCUUGAGUUGGUUAGAGCAUGGUGCUGAUAACACCAAGGUUACCAGCACCUUAACAAAGUACAGUUCCCAAUAUUUUUGGGGCAGAAACCAUGGGAUUUCAGCCUGCAUUGGGUGUGCUCUAAUUGUAUGAUAUGGAUCUGCCCUAAGUCUGCAAGCGCUUUUCUUCAGUAUGCCAGCUUCCAUUUUUGGGGUCGGGGAAGGCGGAAUUGGUCAGUUCUGUUCCUCAGUUUUCUAAUGUUAAGUCGGGUUCUCCACAUUUCCACAAUUUGUGUGCAUGAUAUAUAUAUUUAAGGUGUCCUGAAAAAUCACCAGCGUUUUAGUUCAAAUUUCUCUAAAUAUCUUCUCUUCCUUGGGAAUGCUAUUGAAUAGAAGGUGCUCUUGUGAAGGAAAGUGGCAUAUGGAGUUGUUCCCGGAUAUUUAUUUUAUCAGUGCUAACGGAACGAAUAAUCUAGAAAACUGUGGAGCUGUAUCUUAACAAGUGUGAUGAGAGAUUAUCACGUUUGAUACUCUAAUAAUUUUAUGCUUAGUUAACCAGAUGAAAGCAAGAUGUUUUAUAUGCACAUCUCAAGAUUAGAGAUGGGUGGGAUCUGUUUGUCAUUCCUUUUUCCCAUUGAUGCUCCAAGUGUAGCAGUGUGUUAAAGUACACAACAAGUGUUAUAUAAGAUUAUAGUGGUACAAUCGCCGUGGCAUGAAAACACUGAGAAUGUCUCUGUCUCUCCAGUCAUCAGCCUCCCAUACGAGUGCCCUAGAGGAGAACAUAAAUUUGACACUGAUAAAAUUGGUUUCGUAAUCACAAAUGACUUCAUUUGCGUUUACAGCUAUUAGCAAAUUUUUAAAAACGACUAGCGACAAUGUGCCACACAUGUAUUCCAGGGCAAAAUCUGUCCUUCAUUAAAUCUUAGGAAAUUCUGUUGACACUGGAGGAGAUGAGAUCAGUAUUUGGAAACCUGCCUUCUUAUUGACUACAGAGAACAGAUGGCAGUACUUUUCAUUUUCAGGUACACUUCAUUGCUGGAACUUUUGGCUGUCAGAAUUACCACAAAUGGGGAGAUUUAAAACCUGUCAAAUGUCACCACUCCUUUGCCUCAAGAACUGUAUCUUGGAAAAUAGAUAUCUGU